rnacentral:rRNA from 1 species
GACGAACGCUGGCGGCGUGCUUAACACAUGCAAGUCGAACGGAAAGGCCCUGCUUUUGUGGGGUGCUCGAGUGGCGAACGGGUGAGUAACACGUGAGUAACCUGCCCUUGACUUUGGGAUAACUUCAGGAAACUGGGGCUAAUACCGGAUAGGAGCUCCUGCUGCAUGGUGGGGGUUGGAAAGUUUCGGCGGUUGGGGAUGGACUCGCGGCUUAUCCGCUUGUUGUUGGGGUAGUGGCUUACCAAGGCUUUGACGGGUAGCCGGCCUGAGAGGGUGACCGGCCACAUGGGGACUGAGAUACGGCACAGACUACUACGGGAGGCAGCAGUGGGGAAGAUUGCACGAUGGGCGGAAGCCGGAUGCAGCAACGCGGCGUGCGGGAUGACGGCCUUCGGGUUGUAAACCGCUUUCGCCGGUGACGAAGCGUGAGUGACGGUAAUGGGUAAAGAAGCACCGGCUAACUACGUG